rnacentral:rRNA from 1 species
GACGAACGCUGGCGGCGUGCUUAACACAUGCGAGUCGAACGGAAAGGCCCUGCUUUUGUGGGGUGCUCGAGUGGCGAACGGGUGAGUAACACGUGAGUAACCUGCCCUUGACUUUGGGAUAACUUCAGGAAACUGGGGCUAAUACCGGAUAGGAGCUCCUGCUGCAUGGUGGGGGUUGGAAAGUUUCGGCGGUUGGGGAUGGACUCGCGGCUUAUCAGCUUGUUGGUGGGGUAGUGGCUUACCAAGGCUUUGACGGGUAGCCGGCCUGAGAGGGUGACCGGCCACAUUGGGACUGAGAUACGGCCCAGACUCCUACGGGAGGCAGCAGUGGGGAAUAUUGCACAAUGGGCGGAAGCCUGAUGCAGCAACGCCGCGUGCGGGAUGACGGCCUUCGGGUUGUAAACCGCUUUCGCCUGUGACGAAGCGUGAGUGACGGUAAUGGGUGAAGAAGCACCGGCUAACUACGUG